UUUUUCAGACCGCAUAUUUCUUGUUGUGCAUCUGUGUGGUUAUGGUAGACUUGAUGCAUUUUUAUUUUACAAGAAUUUGUGAAAUUUGUGUCAUUCAUUCAUUCAUUUUCUAACACACUUAUUCCAGCUCAGGGUCAAGGUGCAAGGGGGGAACGAGCCCUGGCCAGGAUGCCAUCCCAUUGCAGGGCACACACACUCACCCACACCCACACUCACUCAGAUGCGGGCCAGUGAACCUAAUGUGCACAGCUUUGGGAUGUGGGAGGAAACGGGAGUACUCGGAGAAAACCCACACAGACAUGGGGAGAACCGCACACACCACACUGACAGUGGCCCCAGCUGGAAUCAAUUUUUUCUUAUCAAUAUUAUAAUGAAACGACAUUGAAUGACACGAUGUUAUUUGAGGACCUGCAGUAUAUUACUGUUUACCUUGGAUCAAUGUAUCUGAAAGGGGUCUCAGUCCAGGGCGUAGUUAUGCAUAUAGAUUAAAGGUAAAGAAAACCUGUAACAUCUGUCAAUUCAUUUCCAUUCCUUUCAGCCACACUGAAGUGAACUUCUAAUAGCAAAUCUCUUGGCUGUAAAAAUUAGCAGCCUAAAAAGCACAUGGGAAGUGCAGUCAUUCACAUUUCCAACUGGCCUGCAGCUCUGCCAUGCAGCCCUCGCCUGGGGCUGGCAUGUGAGUGCCAGUAUGUAUGGCUUGUGUUGUCAUCAUUCACGUUACUUAUUUCAAAUUCAGACUGUUCAUGCAAUGAAGGGAUUCCUGGAAUUCCUGUGUUUCAGUGCCAGGAUGCGCGGUUUUCCCAGCGUUGGAAGCUCUUCUUUCCCAUGGCACAUCUCUCUCAGGGAUUUCCCUUCUCCAGAGGCAAAUGCAAUCCUGACAAUUAGUUAUUGACGGGACAAAUACAUCCUGCAGGCAAAGGCGACGUGGAGUUAUGGUUAUUUUGGACAGGGCCAAACUGAUAAGGGGGCUCUCUCCUCAGAAGAUUGUCUCUGUGUUUGGAAGUUCACAAUCCACUCUAUGGGAUUAAACAGAAGGAGAAUAAAUUAUCCUUGCUUUAUCCUUUGAGUAUCUGUUGAAAAGAUCAGCGUUGAGUGCAUACUGGAUCCUCUUUACUUAGUUUAGACAGGUGAGGAAAAGCAACCCUGUGUCAG
rnacentral:lncRNA from 1 species